UCUUGGUCAUUUAGAGGAAGUAAAAGUCGUAACAAGGUUUCCGUAGGUGAACCUGCGGAAGGAUCAUUAUCGAACAAGAUUGUCGCUGGGGGUAACCCAUGCACAUCUACCCUUUUUCAUUCCAACCUGUGAACCUGUUGUAGAUCUGUAAGGAUCUAUGUUAAUCAAUAACCCUCAAUCCUAUCGUAUGUCCAUAUAUAUUUUAAAUACAACUUUCAGCAAUGGAUCUCUUGGUUCUCGCAUCGAUGAAGAACGCAGCGAAUUGCGAUAAGUAAUGUGAAUUGCAGAUUUUCAGUGAAUCAUCGAAUCUUUGAACGCACCUUGCGCCCCUUGGUAUUCCGAGGGGCAUGCCUGUUUGAGUGUCAUUUAAUUAUCAAUCCAUGAUUGGACUUGGGAAUUGCUGGCUAGUCAGCUGUCCUUAAAUUGAUUAGCAAGUGGAUGAUUAUCUACGUGCACGGCCUAAUAAUCUGGGCUGGAAGUUUACAAACUUGCUUAUAAUUAUUACUUGAGAAACCAAUUGACCUCAUCUCAUCUC
rnacentral:rRNA from 1 species